AACAACCCAUGUAAUACGAUAAAGGGAAAGGUACAUAUUUGGCUUACACUCGCCACUUCACACAAUACAUGAAUAAAGCAUUACAUCAACCAAAUACAAUCAAGGUCCGACUAUGGAACCCAAAAUAAAAGAAGACUACCCCAAAUGCUACACAGAUCCCCGAUCGUCCCAACUAGGCUCCACUACUGAUCAACUGAAAACGGAAACAACACAAAGGACAAGAUCUUCAUCGAGCUCCUCCUUGAGCUCGGUUGCGUCACCUGGAAUGGCAUCAUCGGCACCUGCAAGCUGGUUUGGAAGUAUCCGUGAGUCACAGGGACUCAGCAAUCUCGCACCCUCGCGAUCAAGACUAUUUUAGCUUAUGGGUAAGGUAAAGGUAUGAGGUGGAGCUGCAGCAAGCGACUAGCAUAUAUGAUGGCUAACAUACGCAAAUGAGAGCGAGAAGAGAAGGCAAAGCACGAUCGAGAAACUAUGAUCAAGAAGUGAUCCUAGAACAACCUACGUCAAGCAUAACUCCAACACCGUGUUCACUUCCCGGACUCCGCCGGAAAGAGACCAUCACGGUUACACACGCGGUUGAUGCAUUUUAAUUAAGGUCAACUUCAGGUUUUCUACAACCGGACAUUAACAAAUUCCCAUCUUCCCAUAACCGCGGGCACGGCUUUCGAAAGUUCAAAUCCCUGUAGGGGUGUCCCAACUUAGCCCAUCACAAGCUCUCACGGUCAACGAAGGAUAUUCCUUCUCCCAAGACAUUUCGAUCAGACUCGGCAUCCAAGUUACAAGACAUUUCGACAAUGGUAAAACAAGUCCAGCAACACCGCCCGAAUGUGCCGACAAAUCCUGAUAGGAGCUGCACAUAUCUCGUUCUCAGGGCACACUCAGAUGAGACUAGCUACGAGUAAAACCAACCCUCAAGUUUCCCCGAGGUGGCCCUGUCGGAUUUCGGGUUCCGGCAGACCCUUGAGGUUCGAACACUGGGGUGCACGCGGAGAUUUUGCCUUCUACCUACCUGCACCCCUCUGCCUUGCUAAGAUCUAAGCUAAGGAAAGAACAACACAAGAGACAUAGGGUUUAUACUGGUUCGGGCCACCGUUGUGGUGUAAUACCCUACUCCAGUGUGUGGUGUGGUGGAUUGCCUCUUGGGCUGAUGAUGAUGAACAAUACAAGGAAGAACAGCCUCGCGAGGGUCUGUUCUUUGCUGGGGGGGGACAAACUGCUAGGAGGAGUUCAGUCACCCUUCUCUCUCUCUCUGAUUUCGAUCCGAUCCUUGAUCCUCGAUCUCUGUCUCUAACCUUCCUUUCACUCUCGAACCCGAACCCCCUCUCCCUGUGGGUGGCUGGUCCUAUUUAUAGGCAACGGCCCUGGGCCUCUUCCCAAAUACUGAGCGGGAAGGGCGCCAACAACUGGCCAUUUUGAAGGGGAACAUCUGGUACACUUAUCCUUACUAAAGUUGGUCCUCGCCUGCACAAAGCUCUGGUGGUGACGCCGUCUUGGGCUCCACGAUGACCUCCGUCUUGCAGUCCUCCUGCUCUUGGUCUUGUUGCACCGAAAUGGCAACCUUUGCCUGAUGCCUCGGUACUCCGCGGCUGCGCUUGCCCCCUUUGCACCAAAGGGGAAAGGAGGACACUGCGCGGGCUGGCGCCCGCCUGGCGCCCUUGGUCGUCAUGGCUUGCGUCACGGGCACCUUGUGAGGUACCCCGCCUUGAUCCCUCCGCCUCCUCGCGAGCCAGCCUGGUGAGGCCAUGCCUGAGGAAGCUCCGUGUCGUCCGCCCCGCGAGGCUUGGCCCCUCGCGAGGGUCUUGGGUAUGUGUUGAUGAAGAGGGGCCGUGCUGGGCCCCCCUUUGAGCCACGCCGCAGGCCGCAGGCAGGCAAGUCUGGGGACCCCCGUUCCCAGAACACCGACAGGCCCCGCAGGCAGCUUAGUUCGGACCAACACUCAGAGGAGCACUGACCCGGGGGGGGGGGUUAAAAUAAAGAUGACCCUCGAGAGAGCGACUCCUAAGGGAAAAGUAGGUGGUGGUGAGGCAAAUGGUAAAACCAAGGUUGGGCAUUGCUGGAGGAGUUUUAUUCAAGGCGAACUGUCAAGGGGUUCCCAUUAUAGCCCAACCGCAUAAGGAACACAAAAAUCCAGGAACAUAACACCGAUAUGACGGAAACUAGGGCGGCAAGAGUGGAACAAAACACCAGCAUAAGGCCGAGCCUUCCACCCUUUACCAAGUAUAUAGAUGCAUUAAUUAAAUAAGUUAUAUUGUGAUAACCCAACAAGUAAACAUGUUCCAACAAGGAACAACAUCUCUAUGUUCCAACAAGGAACAAACUUCAAUCUUCACCUACAACUAACAACGCUAUAAGAGGGGCUGAGCAAGCGGUAACAUAGCCAAUCAACGUUUUGCUAGGACAAGGUGGGUUAGGGGCUUGGUUCAACAAUAUGGGAGGCAUGAUAAGCAAGUGGUAGGUAUCGCAGCAUAGGCAUAGCAAAAGAGCGAGCAACUAGCAAGCAAAGAUAGAAGUGAUUUCGAGGGUAUGAUCAUCUUGCCUGAAAUCCCACAAGGAAGAAGAACGAGUCCAUGAAGAAGACAAACGGACGUAGUUGAACGAAUCCUCACAAACGCGACGUUACCGGAUUACCAAGAAGAAAUACACCGGAAAGAAAGCAAACAACAUAGUAAACAACCACCACAUAGACAUGGCAUGAUGCACAACCAAGUAUGAUGCAUGUCCAGUUUAAUGAAGCAUGGCAUGGCAAAGUGCACAAACAAUCCUACAAAUUAAGUGGAACACAAUAUGCAACAAGUUGCAUAUUGACGAAACACCACGACAAGUUAUUUAGUCCAAUCUCGUUUAUGUACCCAACAAUAUUAAAUGUUGUUAAACAUGGCAAGAGGUGAAGCAUAAGUAAACUAACUAUUUAGGCAAGUUUAAAUGAGGCCGGAACAACAAACAACAAUUUCGGAAAAUCCCCAUAUGCAUAUUUUGAAAUUGGUACUGUUCUGCCCUAAACCAUAUUUUAGAGUUGUAAAACAUACAAAGUAAGGUCACCAUGUUAAACUAGGCAUUUUUCCACCCCAUUUACAUAUAAAGAUUAUUUGAAACCGAGCUACGGUUAUUUAGUUAUGAAUUAAACUGUUUUAGCAAGUUAUUUAAGCAGAUUUAUACAAACAACAUUUUAAACAUUUUAAACCUAGAUGAAAGUUGCAUAUUAUUAAACUAGAUGAAAUUCUAAGCAAGUUUCAUAUAUAAUUUAUUUUAAUCCGAUGCACGGUUUGUGAGAUAUUAAAUGCAUGAUCAACAAGGGCUUUUCUGUAAAACUGCAAUUCCCUGGAAAUUAGCUAAAUUCGCAGAACCAAAACAAACAUCCACUGGGCCGAAACUGAACUGGCCCAGCAGUAAUAAAAAAAGGAGGGGGCGCUUGGGGGUGGCCUCAC
rnacentral:lncRNA from 1 species